AGCCGUUAUACGAGGCCAGGUGAUGCUAACAUCCUCUAAUUAAAAACAUUUAGCGUCGAGGAAACCUCAUGUUAACGUUGUCAUACUACUGCUAAACUGUACGGCUGAAACUGUGACGCCCUGGCCUCACAUCAGCUAACAACAGGAAGUUAACAAAGUCGCUAAAAUGAAAUAACACCGACAGUUAACUUAGCUAGCAGCGGUGCUAAUGCUAACAGCUCCGCUGACGUUAAUUAGCAGCGAAACCUUGACGAGCAACAGGUGAAGUCGACAUGAAGGACGAUAAAUGGACUUCAGAUAACACAGAGGAGGUGUGCAGCAAGCAAUUUAUGGCAUUUCUGCAACAUUUUGACACCUCUUUGUUUUAUGGCUCUUCAUUCCAUGGCCACCUAAAGCAAGACGGACACGACAGGAGAAAUUUUAGCAGAUAGCACUGUGAAACUUUCUCAGUUUAUUGCAAUUGUUUUUGUUUUUACAGUUUUUUUUUUUCUUCAGAAAUUGUAUAUUUAAGUAUUCAAGUUAGGU
ensembl:lncRNA